AGGCCUCUGUGUACCACCCCCACACCACCAGUCGUGACUUCCAGGCCAUGAUAGCACACCUCAUCCAAGACCACACCUACCUCGGCAACAGUCUCCUCUCAAUGGCAAAGUUACUCGUCUCUGUAGACACACCAAGUCAAGGUGAGGAUGCUGACUGGUAUCAGCAGAUACAAUGAGAUGAGCUACAUCAUAGGGCUGCUGAUAGAGGCUGAUGAGUUUGAGAGGCUGGUCCACACCGCGGUGUAGAGAAAUGGCCAGCAAUUCCGACACAGUCAAGCGACUGAAGAGUGCAUUCGACGGCUACAAGGCAGCUGCUAAAACCUACGCUCAGGAGGACAUAUUGAGCAAGGCAGAGUACUGCACGACCCAGGCUAGACUGGUAGCACUACAACUCUCUCUGUUACAACAGCGGAAGCAAGUGAUCAACCUCAGUGCCAGGAACGUGCUGCAGUACAUGGAGACAGAGCCCUUCUCUGAGGCCUUAAUAGUGAGUGAGGCUUAUCGUCACUGUAUCCAUGCUGACUGGGUCAACACCAUCUACAAGAAGGUUGUGAUUAAAGGAGACUUCAAAUACUUGUCUGACUUCCAGUCAUCUUACUCCCUUGCCCCCUCCAUGGUGCAGGAUCUGUGCAACAAGCUUCACUGUUCCUGUCUAUACUGCUGUGUUUGGACACGUUGUUGUCUGGUUGUUAUGGUUGUCGUGUAGAAUCUGUACAAGCCGGGCUUACUCCCACCUUCCCCUCGGUACAUGAGAGACAAAGAGAAGACGUUAUGGUUGUCAUGUAGAAUCUGUACAAGCCGGGCUUACUCCCACCUUCCCCUCGGUACAUGAGAGACAAAGAGAAGACGUUAUGGUUGUCAUGUAGAAUCUGUACAAGCCGGGCUUACUCCCACCUUCCCCUCGGUACAUGAGAAACAAAGAGAAGACUUUUGAUAUGACAACAAACAUUAAGAAACUGCUUAACUCACAUCUGAGAAACCUGCCGCUACGAAAAAGACUCUCUGUUCAGUUGGGUUUCAAGGACUCUAGUAGCGGAAUGUUUGAUGACUCGUUCUUAUCUGACUUAUCUAGACUCUGAUAAUUAUAUAGUUUACAGGUGGUAAAGAAUUAUGUGUGUGUCUUGUGCUGAUUUUUACGAGUGUGUUCUUGAAAAAACAUUUCUGUUUGUCUACAUGUA